rnacentral:rRNA from 1 species
AUUGAACGCUGGCGGCAUGCCUUACACAUGCAAGUCGAACGGCAGCGCGGGGCAACCUGGCGGCGAGUGGCGAACGGGUGAGUAAUAUAUCGGAACAUACCCUAGAGUGGGGGAUAACGUAGCGAAAGUUACGCUAAUACCGCAUACGCACUAAGGUGGAAAGUGGGGGAUCUUCGGACCUCAUGCUCAUGGAGUGGCCGAUAUCUGAUUAGCUAGUUGGUGAGGUAAAAGGCUCACCAAGGCGACGAUCAGUAGCUGGUUUGAGAGAACGACCAGCCACACUGGAACUGAGACACGGUCCAGACUCCUACGGAGGCAGCAGUGGGGAAUAUUGCGCAAUGGGCGAAAGCCUGACGCAGCGACGCCGCGUGGGUGAUGAAGGCCU